CUUGCUUCUAUGACGUUAGCGGCGGACGGGUGAGUAACACGUGGGCAACCUGCCUGUAAGACUGGGAUAACUUCGGGAAACCGAAGCUAAUACCGGAUAGGAUCUUCUCCUUCAUGGGAGAUGAUUGAAAGAUGGUUUCGGCUAUCACUUACAGAUGGGCCCGCGGUGCAUUAGCUAGUUGGUGAGGUAACGGCUCACCAAGGCAACGAUGCAUAGCCGACCUGAGAGGGUGAUCGGCCACACUGGGACUGAGACACGGCCCAGACUCCUACGGGAGGCAGCAGUAGGGAAUCUUCCGCAAUGGACGAAAGUCUGACGGAGCAACGCCGCGUGAGUGAUGAAGGCUUUCGGGUCGUAAAACUCUGUUGUUAGGGAAGAACAAGUACGAGAGUAACUGCUCGUACCUUGACGGUACCUAACCAGAAAGCCACGGCUAACUACGUGCCAGCAGCCGCGGUAAUACGUAGGUGGCAAGCGUUAUCCGGAAUUAUUGGGCGUAAAGCGCGCGCAGGCGGUUUCUUAAGUCUGAUGUGAAAGCCCACGGCUCAACCGUGGAGGGUCAUUGGAAACUGGGGAACUUGAGUGCAGAAGAGAAAAGCGGAAUUCCACGUGUAGCGGUGAAAUGCGUAGAGAUGUGGAGGAACACCAGUGGCGAAAGGCGGCUUUUUUGGUCUGUAACUGACGCU
rnacentral:rRNA from 1 species